rnacentral:rRNA from 1 species
UCCAGACUCCUACGGGAGGCAGCAGUGGGGAAUAUUGCACAAUGGGGGAAACCCUGAUGCAGCGACGCCGCGUGGGUGACGAAGUAUUUCGGUAUGUAAAGCCCUAUCAGCAGGGAAGAAGAUGACAGUACCUGACUAAGAAGCCCCGGCUAACUACGUGCCAGCAGCCGCGGUAAUACGUAGGGGGUAAGCGUUAUCCGGAUUUACUGGGUGUAAAGGGAGCGUAGGUGGCAUGGCAAGCCAGAAGUGAAAACCCGGGGCUUAACCCCGCGGAUUGCUUUUGGAACUGUCAGGCUGGAAUGCAGGAGGGGCAGACGGAAUUCCUUGUGUAGCGGUGAAAUGCGUAGAUAUAAGGAGGAACACCAGUGGCGAAGGCGGUCUGCUGGACAGCAACUGACGGUGAGGCGCGAAAGCGUGGGGAGCAAACAGGAUUAGAUACCCUUGUA